GAACGCACCUUGCGCUCCUCGGUGUUCCGAGGAGCAUGCCUGUUUGAGUGUCAGUAAAUUCUCAACCCCUCUCGAUUUGCUUCGAGCGGGUGCUUGGAUGUUGGGGGCUGCCGGAGACACUGGACUCGUCCAGGACUCGGGCUCCUCUUAAAUGAAUCGGCUCGCGGUCGACUUUCGACUUUGCAUGACAAGGCCUUUGGCGUGAUAAUGAUCGCCGUUCGCCGAAGUGCAAGACAGAAUGGUCCCGUGCCUCUAAUGCGUCGACGCCUCUAGGGGCGUCUUCCUCAUUGACGUUUGAUCUCAAAUCAGGUAGGACUACCCGCUGAACUUAAG
rnacentral:misc_RNA from 1 species